rnacentral:lncRNA from 1 species
CUUUAUUCAAUUUCCAUAACCAACGCACCAACAACAAUGCUCACCAAGAAAUAUUUACUCAAGCCACAACAUUUCAGGCAACACAAACUUUAUGGAAUAGGAAGCAAAAUAUCCAAUGAACAACACAUCCUACUAUGUACUUCUGAAGCACCCUUAUUUUCGGAAUUCAAAUCAGAACUAAGCUUAGAAACAAAAUGUUAACUAUCAUUUGAUUUCCCCUUCUUUGUUUGGCCUUAAGGAAUGAGCUUAAACCAGUAGAGCGAAAUUAACCAAUUUAAACCAACCUAACGAGAUCCAACAAUUAACCAACAAUGAAAGAAGCAAAAUGAUGAACCAUGUCUCUCGUGAAUUUCAGGAAGACAAUUUGUACAUAUGCAAAGGGUUUCAAACCCACCAAAGUUGUUUACCUAUCAUUCAAACUAUAACAAACAACCAGCAAUAAAACAUCCUCAAAACCUGCUCGUACACUUGCCGAACUUGCUAUUUGGCAUCGAGACCAAGCGAUUAACUCAAAUACAAAGCCCAGUUUCACGAUACACCAGUAACAACUCAUUUGGUACUUACUAUUACAGAUCUACUACAUGAAAUUAAAUAGUCAGAAAACAAAGAAAAGCUAAGGUAAACACAUCUUGUAUUCCAUAAACUUUCCACUUGAAUUACAUAAUCAACAUUCACAUUGUUGCUCGUAGAUAGAAAUUACCUGGGAAGCAAGAAACAAUAGCAAAUCAGAAAUCAGCAGUUAGCUCAAGUUUGUCCAAAUGAAUAAUGAACAGCUCAAGAUAGACCAAUGGAACAGUAAAAAAUCUUCAGAAAACUUACUUCAAAACCAGCUUAAACAAUUUCUUCUCUAUCAGGUGUACAAAUUCAACAGUUCUUUCUAGAAAUUCUAAACUAUCAAUGGAUUGAAAUGAGCCAAACCAGCAGCAAGACCCCAAAAAUACCAAGUUCAGUCCAUUUUCCCCUAGAUAAACCAAAAUGUGUUUCAGGAAUUGAAAGCCUUAGAAACCAAAACAAUGAAACAAUAUUUUCACAAAGUUCUCAGCCGUCUAUAUUUUCUCUAUUUUUAGCUCCCUCCCUCUUCUUCUUCUUCUUCUUUUUUUAAGCUGUAAGUAACUAUGCCUUUAUAGGCGAGUUACUAGGGCAGCCCUAGAGAUUUAGUUAUUUCAUUUCAGUCCCUUUUAAAUUUUUCUUUUUGCUGCUGAGUCCUUUUUUUUAUGACUUGGUGACCAAGUAAGUACAUUCUGCAGCACCUGGGAAGCUUAUUGGGUGGUUACUUAAGAGGUUCUCUUAGUGAACUACCCUAUUUUCCCUUUAACUUCCCUGCUUUUACUUUAGCAUACUUCAAAUGGGUCAAGGCUGACCCAACGACCCUAUGCAAUUUGAAUAUGCUAUUAUUUGUCAAUUGAGCCUGGGACAGCCCAAUUCCACCAAAUACACUCAGUUUUACAAAUUGAGAGCUCUGAAAUGUCAUAACAGAUCAAGCAACCUAAAUGAUUCAAUGACUAAUCGACUAGUUAUAAUUAAACCAAUUAACAAGCUAAAUUGAACCAAUUAACAAGCUAGAAACAAGUUACAAUGCUAACCUAAAGUUGACAUGCCUAGGAAGCGAAAUAUGGAAAACCGAUGGGUCGAGGAAACGAGAAGAAGCAGAAAAUAGCAGAUGAAGAUGAAGCUUAGUUAAAAAUCGAAAAUAAAAAAGAAAAUACUCACCGAGGCUCAAACAAAUAAGGAAAGGAGUUUGAACCUUCUAUUUCUUGACCAACUAUGAUAUUAAUCGUGUGUUCUUGAUAAGAACACACGAAUAACAUUACAAUAAACCAAAAUCAACAAACAAAACCUGAAUCGAGAAUGAUUCGAGGAAAAUGGAGUUGAUAUUUGGAAUGAGGAGAGGGAAAGGGUUCAGGGAUGUGAUUUUGGGAGGUUUGGUGGCAGUGCCGCCACCAGAGACACUGUGGCGGCGCUAGGGCUUGUAAUUUCAGAUCAAGAUUCAAGUGACAUGAGUGGUUUUUGAAGGAAACUGGUUGUGGAUUGAGGAUGUGGAGGUGGAGAAGAAGAUGUGGUAAAUAUUUGGGGUGGUUUGGAGAUUCGCCACCGCCGUGGGCAAUUUCUAGCGCCGGCGGAUGGUGGCGUUACAUGGGAUAGUUUGGAAACGAUAUUGCUAGGGGGGUGGGGCAGGGGUUGUGUUUGGACAUUAAUAUACUAAGUAGAACCC